CAGCAUUUGAGACUAUGCUAAAUCUUGCUCAUCGUCUAGCCCCACCUCUUUUUAGCUAGGUUCUUUAUCAUGUCCUUGGUGUUCGUCCAGGCUUAUUAUCCACUAAUUGGGCCAUUGUUGAACGAGUUAUGCCUUGGUAUCCAAGCUAAUGGAUUGGCCAAAUCCCUUUCUGGAGUUUAUGCUAAGGAUUUGCACGCCUGCUUGACCGCUAUAAAAUGCAUUCCUUCUAUCCCUGGCCAUGUGCUUCGGAAUGAUGCUUUGAUCAUGACAAGUAUUUGGAUUGCUUGGAAGAUGUCUAUCCCUGGCCAUGUGCUUCAAGCCUUUGCUUCUAUCUUC